GCAGUCGCCGCGGGAAUACGUAGGGUGCAAGCGUUAAUCGGAAUUACUGGGCGUAAAGCGUGCGCAGGCGGUUAUAUAAGACAGAUGUGAAAUCCCCGGGCUCAACCUGGGAACUGCAUUUGUGACUGUAUAGCUAGAGUACGGCAGAGGGGGAUGGAAUUCCGCGUGUAGCAGUGAAAUGCGUAGAUAUGCGGAGGAACACCGAUGGCGAAGGCAAUCCCCUGGGCCUGUACUGACGCUCAUGCACGAAAGCGUGGGGAGCAAACAGGAUUAGAUACCCGUGUAGUCCCUGUCUCUUAUAC
rnacentral:rRNA from 1 species